GAUGAACGCUAGCGGCAGGCUUAAUACAUGCAAGUCGAGGGGUAGCAAGAUUGUAGCAAUACAAUUGUUGACGACCGGCAAACGGGUGCGGAACACGUACACAACCUUCCUACAAGUGGGGAAUAGCCCAGAGAAAUUUGGAUUAAUACCCCGUAACAUAGCGAUGUGGCAUCACAUUGCUAUUAUAGCUUCGGCGCUUGUUGAUGGGUGUGCGGCUGAUUAGAUAGUUGGCGGGGUAACGGCCCACCAAGUCGACGAUCAGUAGCUGAUGUGGGAGCAUGAUCAGCCACACGGGCACUGGGAAACGGGCCCGACUCCUACGGGAGGCAGCAGUAAGGAAUAUUGGUCAAUGGACGAAAGUCUGAACCAGCCAUGCCGCGUGGAGGAUGAAGGCCCUCUGGGUUGUAAACUUCUUUUAUAUGGGACGAAAAAGGGCCUUUCUAGGUCAACUGACGGUACCAUGUGAAUAAGCACCGGCUAACUCCGUGCCAGCCGCCGCAGUAACAC
rnacentral:rRNA from 1 species